rnacentral:rRNA from 1 species
GACGAACGCUGGCGGCGUGCUUAACACAUGCAAGUCGAGCGGUAAGGCCCUUUCGGGGGUACACGAGCGGCGAACGGGUGAGUAACACGUGGGUGACCUGCCCUCAUCUCUGGGAUAAGCCUGGGAAACUGGGUCUAAUACUGGAUAUGACUCCACGGUGCAUGUCGUGGGGUGGAAAGCCUUGUGCGGCUGAGGAUGGGCCCGCGGCCUAUCAGCUUGUUGGUGGGGUGAUGGCCUACCAAGGCGACGACGGGUAGCCGGCCUGAGAGGGCGACCGGCCACACUGGGACUGAGACACGGCCCAGACUCCUACGGGAGGCAGCAGUGGGGAAUCUUGCGCAAUGGGCGAAAGCCUGACGCAGCGACGCCGCGUGAGGGAUGACGGCCU